rnacentral:rRNA from 1 species
AGAGUUUGAUCAUGGCUCAGAAUCAACGCUGGCGGCGUGCCUAACACAUGCAAGUCGCACGAGAAAGGGACUUCGGUCCUGAGUACAGUGGCGCACGGGUGAGUAACACGUGAAUCAUCUACCUUCGAGUGGGGAAUAACUGAGAGAAAUCUUAGCUAAUACCGCAUAAUACCUACGGGUCAAAGCAGCAAUGCGCUUGAAGAGGAGUUCGCGGCAGAUUAGUUAGUUGGCGGGGUAAUGGCCCACCAAGACGAUGAUCUGUAUCCGGCCUGAGAGGGCGCACGGACACACUGGAACUGAAACACGGUCCAGACUCCUACGGGAGGCAGCAGUGGGGAAUUUUGCGCAAUGGGGGAAACCCUGACGCAGCAACGCCGCGUGGAGGAUGAAAUCCCUUGGGAUGUAAACUCCUUUCGAUAGGGAAGAUAAUGACGGUACCUAUAGAAGAAGCCCCGGCUAACUUCGUGCCAGCAGCCGCGGUAAUACGAGGGGGGCAAGCGUUGUUCGGAAUUAUUGGGCGUAAAGGGUGCGUAGGCGGUUUGACAAGUCUUAUGUGAAAUCUAUGGGCUCAACCCAUAGUCUGCAUGGGAAACUGUCGGGCUUGAGUAUGGGAGAGGUGAGUGGAAUUUCCGGUGUAGCGGUGAAAUGCGUAGAUAUCGGAAGGAACACCUGUGGCGAAAGCGGCUCACUGGACCAUAACUGACGCUGAUGCACGAAAGCUAGGGGAGCAAACAGGAUUAGAUACCCCCGUAGUCC